UAACCAACUGAGCCACCCAGGCGCCCCAGAACCAUUUAUUUUUUACCUUACGAUGUCCUAGCAAGCUCCAGAUCCACGAACCCCGACAGCUUCCCCAGACUGGUGGUUUUGUCUCCCUACGUUUGGAAGUCUGAGGAUCGGGGCGGCACCAGGACGAUCUAGGUUCCUGUGUUAGCUUCCUAUGGCUGCAACUAGCACACAUCUAUCAGUUUAAAACAGUGCAAACUUAUUCUCUUGCUCUUCUGUAGGUUAGAAGUCUGACACGGGGCCUCAGUGGGUUACCAUAAAGGCCUUGGGAACUGCAACCCUGCUUGGAGGCUCUAGAGGGAAAUCUGGGUCCUUGUCCUCCACUUUCCGGAGGUGCCCAUGUUCCUUGGCUCGUGGCCUCCCGCUGCCUUCCAGGUAACACAGCACAUUUCCAGGCUCCAGGGAACAGGACACGGACAUUUGGCGGGGGGCCCUUCUUCUGCCUCCUACACUCCCUGUAAGCUGUAUUACCGCAGGAAGCCAGAGCGUGGCUUGGUCCUGAGAGAAGACAGUGAUGGUGAAUUGCUGUCUUGGCCAGAUUGGGGCGGGGAGGUGCUCUGGAUCCUCCCAGUGAUGGAUGUUGAGAGGAAAGCGUUUGCCAAAUCAGUUGUGCACAGCCCAUCUGACCGGUUCUGCCACCUGUUCAAGUUCAUUGUCGUCCGUCUUCUUCCACCAUUAAUCAUCUGUUUUCUGCAAAGGCCGGAUAGGUGAAUUCAAUGGAGCCAUGAGUGAGCGUUCCUGUUGCUCCGCGUCCUCACCAGCAUCUGGUGUCAUCGGUGCUCUGGAUUUUGGCCAUUCCAGCAGGUGUGUCAUGGGAUCUCGUUGUUUUGUGUUUCCCUGAUGACAUACGAUGUGGAGCAUCUUUUAUAUGCUUAUUCGCCAUCUGUGUAUCUUCUUUGAUGAGGUGUCUGUUAAGGUCUCUGGCCCAUUCUUUAACUGUGUUGUUUCCUCACUGUCGAGUGUCAGGAGUUCUUGGAAUAUACUGGGUAACAUGUCUUUACCAGAUACGUCUUUUGCAAACAUUUUCUCCCAUCUGUGGCUUGUCUUCUUUUUUUUUU